UGCUUAACACAUGCAAGUCGAACGAUGAUGCCCAGCUUGCUGGGUGGAUUAGUGGCGAACGGGUGAGUAACACGUGAGUAACCUGCCCUUAACUCUGGGAUAAGCCUGGGAAACUGGGUCUAAUACCGGAUAUGACUCCUCAUCGCAUGGUGGGGGGUGGAAAGCUUUUUGUGGUUUUGGAUGGACUCGCGGCCUAUCAGCUUGUUGGUGAGGUAAUGGCUUACCAAGGCGACGACGGGUAGCCGGCCUGAGAGGGUGACCGGCCACACUGGGACUGAGACACGGCCCAGACUCCUACGGGAGGCAGCAGUGGGGAAUAUUGCACAAUGGGCGCAAGCCUGAUGCAGCGACGCCGCGUGAGGGAUGACGGCCUUCGGGUUGUAAACCUCUUUCAGUAGGGAAGAAGCGAAAGUGACGGUACCUGCAGAAGAAGCGCCGGCUAACUACGUGCCAGCAGCCGCGGUAAUACGUAGGGCGCAAGCGUUAUCCGGAAUUAUUGGGCGUAAAGAGCUCGUAGGCGGUUUGUC
rnacentral:rRNA from 1 species